CCCGAUCGAUCAAGGUCCAUGACCAUCAGCUGCCCGUAGCGAACGAACUGCUGCUAUUUCUUGCCUAACCAUACUGCAAAGAACAAGUGGUGCUCAUUUCCUCUUAUCUUCGGUUCGUUUGCAACUCCCAAUGCAUCCCAUCCCAUGCCUCAGCCUCAGUCACCAUUCAACUGCCAUCCUGAUGACAACAAUUGUCGUUCACCAGGUCUCUCACCCAGCUUCCAUCUUGCUACUCUGAUCUGAUACAUAAACAUAAAGGAGGCCGAUGAAGUCAUAUCUUGGAUGUUGCCAGCAGAGGUAACGAUAUUUUUAAUAAGGUACAUACCCAUGCAUGUAGUUGCGUGCAAUAAAUUGAGCAUUUUGGUUUUUAUUGCUUCAAAGCCAGUAGGAUAGCUUCAGGAUGAAUAUUAUUACAGAUACACUAGCUGCAAACGUGGACAUGUAUGACGUAUUAUAAUGAGGAUAACUGGAACUCUGGAAGGAUGCCCUGGCCGUGGUGGAGCUUAAUUAUAUUCUCGGGCCAGGGCCUCCCAGAGUAACGCUAAGUCAGGCUUGCUGGCUUGGCUGAAGUACCUGUGGGGGCUUCUUGUUAUCAAGAAACCGCUGCUCCAGCAGGAGCAGAAAACUUGCCUGAAGCCGCAGCCGAAAAAGAAGGAUAAGCCAAAGACUCCAUCCAUGACCAAUCCGCUCUAUUAAUCGACUAGAUGUGUAUAUGCUUAUGCUUAACCACUAUUAGAAACAAAAUCAUGCAUAACUAGCCAAAUGAUUGAGGUCAUAUCUCUGAAGUUCAACUUGAAUAAUUAUUUGUCUGCAUGUAUUGUUCGGUUCAAAUACUGUGCGUCUUAGUAUUCUAAGUAAAGCAUUUCAUUCGUACUUAUAUGUACGAAUACUGUAGCGAACAUGGCCUUGAUAAGCCAUGAUAUUGGUAAUUCAAUGACAAUAUGGUCAUUCAGACUAACAAAGUGUUGAGAAACAUGUUUUAAAGGUAUUCUAGGUCCCAAGGAAGCAACUACAACCAAAGACAACCAAAGAAACAAAGAAAUCUAGGAAAAUACACCAUCGGAUGUUUCGAUGGCCCCCAGAUAAGCGUCGGAGCAAUUGAUAUGCUGCGAUGAAGUCAAGCCAAAGUCGACUAGCAUCGGACAAAUUCUGAGGGACAGGCUUGGAAGACGAAGAAAAUUAUUUAGCACCGGAUGAUCCGAUGGAAGGCAAAAGAGGAGCGUCGAACAAAGAAAAUUUACUUUGAAAUCAGACAGAAGGUUUCGGCCAGAAAGCCCUUCAGCACCGGAUGAUCCGAUGGGUGCAUCGGAUGAAUUUUGGGUGUGUCAGUGGAGAACUUGGCACGGGGAAUCCAACUGCUAGUUGCACCGGAUGUUCUGAUGCAGGCCAAAAAUAGACCAUCGGAACAUCCGAUGGUAUACAUUUUCACUAGCCGUUGGAGCAACGGCUCUUUGAGCCUUUGGGGCUAUUUAUACCCCCACCACUCGUCCAUUUAGAGUGGCUGGAGUGUCAAAGGAUGCAUUGAAGACCAAGACUCAUAAAGAAGACAUCCAAACUACCAAAAGUAAGCUUAUCACAAGCUUAGGAGAGUGAUUAGUGCUAGGAUAGGCCUUCAGAGGAGUGAGUGCAAGGUGUGCUAACCUUGUGAUCAAGUUCUAGAGUGAACCACCGCUGUCAACAGGUGUGCCGGUGCCUUGGAGCCUUCGUGGCUCACCGGCAAGUCUUCGACCCUCCGGCUUGGUGUGGAGCAGCGUCGACAACCUUUUGCGGGGGAUGUGGAGACCUCCUCCCUUCGUGGACAAGCUCCUUAGUGGAGAUGGCAUCAAGGUGACCGAGGGACUUGGUGUGAGCCUUAGUGGCCGAGCCUUUGUGGCAAGUCAAGGGGCAUCUUGGGAGAGACUUGGUGACCAAGAAGCAAUACUCUUGUGUGAGUGCUUCAACAACAUGGACUAGUGGUGGCUUAGUGCGUACUGAUACCACGGAAUAAAAAUCAUCAUGUCAAGAGUUUGCUUCCCCUCAUCCUAACCUCUUACGUUUCUGCAUUUUAUAAUUGCAACUUACGUGCCUUUACUUUCUUAGUAUAGUAUCUUACUAGGAUUGGCUCUAAGUUGCAAAACUUGUUUUGGGAUGAGAGUUUCACACUAGAUCAACCGUAGAGUGCACAUCUAGGUUAGAAUGAUCUAGUUUUUGUUCAUACAAAGUAGUGGAAGACAUAGGUUAAGGUUUUAAAUUGGCUAAUUCACCCCCUCCCCCCUCCCCUUUUAGGCUACGAGCACCGAUUUCUCACAAAUACAUAAUUUCCGAGUAAUUACUUAUAUUGUGGGAUGAUGAUCGAUGAUAAAAUAAUUUAUAUAUCUCCAUGCUUCAUCCUUGGGUAUGUUGUUGUUACUGACACAAUGCAUGUCAUAUGGUCUCCCAUCGCUGUUACACAACCGGGCAUCAGCUAGUCACGGCUGGAAAAGCCCCAGAAUAUUGGGGAGUAUAACUAAAGGUGUGUUGAGUUGGGCAGCUGCUUAGGCGUUCCAGGAAGUAGAAGUAGGUGCAGGGACAGGGUUGAUUUCAAUUUUCAAAUUAUUAGACAUGCCAAGCAUCUGGUUGCACGUGACCCAAUUUCAUCGUUCCAGAACUACCAAAUGCAACAUAAUUGGAUGGCCUUGUAGCCUGACAAUACUCCAAUUAAAACUACUGAGGGUUGCUAAUAGUAGUGUGCUGCGUUGGGGAGCUGCUUAGGCGUUCAUGAAAAAGUGGACGAGAGAUUAGUGCGGUCGUCUGAAUGAGAAUAAAUAGCAGUAGAAGGUGGUUCCAAAUUACUCCCUUCAUCCCGUCCCAAAUUAUAAAUUAUUUUAUCUUUUUAGAUUCAUAUGUUUUACUAUAUGCAUCUAUAUGCACUUAGAUGUAUAUUAUGUUCAGAUGCAUCUUAAAAAAUAUGUACCGAGGUGGUUUUAAACGAAUGACCUUUUUCACCUUUCCAAAACUAGCAUAUGCAACAUGAUUGGAUGGCGUCGCAGCCUAAUCAUAAAACUACUGAACCAUUUAAUUACCUAUUAUAUUACUGUGUCUUUGCAAACCAGAGGACACUGUUUAACGUCUCCAGGAAAUAAAAAAAGUUUGACAGCAUACGUAUUAGCAACUUGGUGCUCCUCUAACUGGGCAGCUUUUCUCCUUGAACUAUUUGACUUUUUAAUGGAAAAACUAGCACUAACUCCUGGACAACUAAGCUAUCCUAUUUACACGGGCAAUCGAGCCCUAUUGAUGAUUUGAUGGUACAAUCCCACAAUAAUCAACACAGACACCAUGCUUUAAUUUACUUCCCGAUCUGAACCGCCAAAACAAUAUAAAAAUAUACAAUCAAGAUUACCAUUAAUGGUUAUGUCUAACACGUAGCCAUGCCAGCUUUCCUGGGCUCCAAUUGAACCUAAUGCCGGACGGGUUGGAGCUGCACCAGUCCUCUGGAGCAUAGGAUCUGUUCCACAUCACACCCUCCCCUUGCAUCUACCACUACUAGUAGAAAAAUGACCUCUCGUCCCUAGUCUUAGUACCGGUUGUUUUAGAUCCGGUACUAAUGUUAGCAUUAGUACCGGCUCCAAAUUUAGGAUUCUCCGGAGGCCCUCUAGUACCGGAUGGGGGCUCCAUCUGGUUGGAGCCUCCACCCGGUACUCCAACCGGUACUAGAGGGUGACCUCUAGUAAUGGGGGGAGCCCCCAGCCGGUACUAGAGGCCUCCCCCCGUCCACCUACACGACACUUAGAAUUUUUUACCUCCUCCAGCCCACGCGCACUACAUGCAUCUGCCUUAUCCUCUCUCCCCCCAUCUCCUCCUCCUCCUUCUCUCUCUCACGUCUCUCCCUUCUCUUCCUCUUCCUUCUUCCCUCACUCUCUCCUUACUCCCUCACUCCCGGCGGCAGGGAGGUAGGGGGCACGGAGGGGGCCGGCGGCGGGGAGGUUGGGGCUGCCGGCAGUGAGGAGGCGGGGAGGCGGGGAGCCGACGGAAGGGAGGUAGGGGGCCACCGGCAGGGGUGGGGGGCCUGGAGGGAUUUUUCUUUUUUUUUAAUUUUUUAGCACCCUCUAGUACCGAGGACCCCCUAUAGUACCGACUGGCCAGCCGGUACAAGGGGGGGGUUAUGGGACCAGUAUAAGAGGCACAUUUUCUAGUAGUAGUGUACUACCAUCACCAUGUAAAACACCUCGAAUUUAUUUUUAAAAAAUUCAGUUUGACUAAGACGAGUCCUUUGUCUACAUAGCACCCCCUGUUAUAUCGUCGAUGUUGCAGCCAACAAUUUUUUAAUAAGGUGCAUGCCCCACUAGUAGAGAACUCGGUAUUAGUCCCAGUUGGUAGGAUGCAAAUCUCCCGAAAAUCCAUCCGGGAUAAACCAACCGGGACAAAAGACCCCUUUUGUCCCGGGUCACUCAACCGGGACUAAAGACCCCCUUUUAUCCCGGUUGGUAAUACCAACUGAGAUAAAAUAGGUCACCAUGCCAGGCGCUGCAAAAAAAAAAGAAAUCCCGGGAGGACACCCCCCCACACGCGCAAAGUCACAAGUCACGCGAUUUUUCACGCGAAAUAUGUGCGUGCGCGCUGCGUGGGAUUUGAACCCACAACCUCCAGCCUCGCGCAUAGAUUCCUUGCCAUCCCACCUACAUAGCACAUCUGACUAAAUAGGGGAUGCAAUCCUUUGGUAUUAACUCAUGGGGGAUCCUUUUAUCCCGGUUGGAAACACCAACCGGGAUAAAAGGCCCCCUUUUAUCCCGGUUGGUAUUACAAACUGGGAUAAAAGGGUUCAAGAGAUUUAGUCCUCUUUCAGCCACCCCGUUGGGGACCCUUUUAUCCCGAUUUGAAACACCAACCGGGAUAAAAGACCCCCUUUUAUCCCGGUUGGUAUUACAAAUCGGGAUAAAAGGCUCUCGACCCUUUUAUCCCGGUUGGUGUUACCAAUCGGGAUAAAAGGGGGGUCUUUUAUCCCGGUUGGUGUUUCAAACCGGGAUAAAAGACCUCUCAGGGUCUUUUUUUCCACUAGCCUUUGCUACCGGGAUAAAAAGUCCCGGUUGGUGAGGCCCCCACCAGUGACCGAGCUUUAGUCCCGGUUGGUGAACCUUUUAUCCCGAGCCAACUUUAAACCGGGACAAAAUGGGGUGCAUGGAAGGUGAGUUCUUUACUAGUGCCCUUGUAGUUGCAUGCAAUAAUUUGAGCAUUUUCUUUAUAGCUUCAAAACCAGUAGGUAUACAAACACUAAUGGGCGGUUUUCUGGUAGCCGCUUGGGUAAAAAAAAAGUUUUGUCCAAUAUCACUAUUUUUUAUGCAGUAUUUUCAAAGGCCGAUGGUGAUAACUAUUUCCUCUGCCAGUUCCAAAACCGACGAUGAUGUGCACCAUUAUUACUGUGUUCAUGCUCGUAAUUGACACACUUUUAGUGCUAUUUAACUAGUGUUGUCAUGCAUUUUCUUAUACUAACCUGCUACUUGACACGUGAAAUAACUAUCGGUGUUUAAACCCAGCAACCUACUGAGAGGAGUGCCCGAGGUAGUGUUUUGAUUAGUGGGGCUCGUCGAGAUCAGGAACUCGAAGGUAGAUGCAGAUACAAGAUUUAGACAGGUUUGGACUGCUGAAUAGCGUAAUAUCCUACGUCCUAUGUAUUGGUUGGAUUGAAUUGCUUUGGGGAGGGUCUCUGCCUCACCUUAUAUUGCAUGGGAUAGGGUUACAGGUCGGUUGGUUACAAGAUUCAACUAGAUGAGUUCUACUCUUAUUACUAUGAGUACUUUUCUAAUCCUCGACUAGUUUCUAUCUUUCCACGUAGACUACACCGUCAUGCGCCAUAGUCUCCAUAUUAGAUGCAAAUCGGUGUCCAGCCCCAUAUUUAGGACUGUCCAAACCUUCUGGUGGGCCUAUACAUGUAUGUACGACAAGCCCCUGAGUACUUUUUAGUCAAAUGCAGCAAUUCCGAAUACUUUUGUAGACUUCACCGACUAGUUUGGUGCUCUUCGAGUACUUCAUCUGGUUGAAUCUUCAAAGGUACCCCAAGACUGCCAUGCAGCUACAAUGUACUCAAGCCUCAUUUAACUUUAGUCUUGUGUCUUUCAACCUUCAAUUUAUAUGGAAGUGCGACGUAAGUCGCACUCCAUAUGGAGUAGCACCCGAGCCUUAGGUUGAAUCGAAGAAUCAGGUUGAGAAUCAAUCCGUAAUUUGCAUCACUUUCCUCUUAAAACCCAGAGAAAAAACUUUUUUGUUGAUGGACACAUGGCCCACUGCCCCCGAGCCUUUUGCCAACUAGUUUGGUAGGUAUAAGAGUCAACCUCUAGUCAACGUGACCAUCUCUGAAAGGAAACCUUAUCUCUUCCUAACAUAGAGGUAACUGCCAAUCAUGUGUCCCAAAAUCUCGAGUUUCCUUUAAAUAGAAAUCCCUUUAUUUGUGCCGUUAUUACCGUGCCACUAUGAUAAAUAACGGAGGAAGUUAUCCCUUCUAUUUUAUCUUCACCAAUUGCCUUUCCAACCUCCAUACUGUAGCCCUAGCGCCGCUGCCAUUAUUCGAUCUUCGAACACUUGCGCCACCAUCUCCCCACCAAGCAGCCCCCAAGCGAAUUCAACUGAAAAUGCUAAUGACAUCGAAGAUGGGAAGAAAGGUUGUUGCGUCCAAAGCGGUCGAGGGCGAGAGAAGAAAAGGUCUGAUAAGAAGAAGGAGCCACAGUUGCUAGUGCCGAAGUACGGGAAGACCGAUCAGAUUGCACCGUCGAAUCCUAUCUACGCCUGAAAGCGGUUAAUUCUGAAGGAGGAGGAUAUCAAGGCACUCGUAGCCACCAAUGUACUCCAAGGUCAGGAAUUCAUCAACUGGAGAUCUACAUAUGGCAAUGCCUACCCUUUGGAGUCCUACCCCGAUGAGACGGUAAUUUUUGCCCACUUCAUUAAGCGGGGCCUUGCAUUACUCUCGUCAGAUUUCUUCCGAGAUUUAUUGUAUUACUAUAAAUUGGAGUUGGUGCAUCUGAACCCCAAUGGAAUCCUCCAUACUACAAUCUUUGCUCAUUUGUGCGAAUCCUUUCUGGGAUUAGGCCUCACUUUCAGUUAUUCCGGAAAAUUUUCCAAGUGAAGCCUCGACCUGCAAAAGGUCAUACCCUCGUGGUUGGACACGUCAGGAUCUAGAUGGAGGAGACAAUGAGCAGCCAGUAUCUGGAUUACAAGUUGAUAGACUCCAAUGCUAGGUGGAAGGAGAAGUGGUGCUACAUUAGCAACCAUGAUCUGAAACUACCCAAGCUGACAGGACAUCACCUCUUGGAACAACCGCUGGCUUGAUGAGCCAAAGCAUGGUGAUUGCCUGCAAGUACCCGAGCUAGUGAAGUGAAUAGAAGAUCGGAAAGAACAAGGUUUGAUCGGUCUUGGCGUCGCAUUCAACUUUAUGAAGCGACGGAUUUAGCCGCUGCAGCAGCGCUGUCACUAGGCUACGAGUACACCAGCCUUGAUGAUCCUUCCAGAUUCUCUCCAGAUGAAAUCAGCAUGGAUGAAAUCAUGGCGAGGCUUAAGCAUAUGUUGAAGAAUGUGGGCGAUAUCCCCACUAUUGUGCAGGAAUUCAGUGCCGCCAACCUGCCGAAUCCUGUAAGUACCCGUGGCUUGAGCCCUCGUGUACUUAUUUUGAAUGUACUUGUCAUCUGACUUGUUUCAUUUUGUAGGAAGAUGUUGCGUUGUACUUCUCUGCUCCUCCUCCUCCUAGAUCCAAAGAAUUCUGUGAAGCCGCUCCUCAUGUUUUUACUCAAGAAGGCAUGAGAGGUGAUGACUAGAAGGAAAAAGUAGUCAAGUCCUCCAGCGGCACUAGUUUUGAUGCUGUGGAAAAAUAUUAAGUCGAGGCUCGACCAUCUGCGAAGGUUGGAUCUUCCUCUAUAGUGAAGAAAUGCUCAGCUACAGAUGAGCUUGAAGCCACGAUCCCUCCACCUCCGAAGAAGAAAUGGACCAUUGCAUUAAAAUGGGUCGUGAAGAAAUCCAUUGUUGCGGAUGAUGUACCCCCCUUGGUAAUUUACCUAUGAGGAACGACAAGGUUCUGAGUAUCAUAUACUCCCAAAAAUAUGUCUCCAAUGUCACCGGCAUGACUAACUAAGAUGAUACUGGUGGUUUGUAGGUACUCGACGAGGCGACCAAAGCGAAGAAGGCAGCUGCUGUGGCCACUCAAAACAAGUCCCCAAUCAUUGAGGAGUUGAUCGAGAUUGAGGAUGAUCCUGAGCCUCAAGAUAUCGUUCCGGUUGAUCCCUAGGUGGUGAACCCUACUGGUGUAGACACAACUCAAGCAGCAGAGGCAAAGCUCAAAGUUGGCCAAUAUCCCAUUAUGGAUGUGCAGGCCACGCCAAAAGCAUUGUCUGCAACUGUCAAGCCACUGCGACUAUUUGGUAAACCCACCCUACGGCUGAGAAGGUCUUCAAAGUAAUAUUUAUGCUCCUUUCGAGUACUAAUUGUAAUUCAAAAUCGACUUGUUGUGUCACAAAAGCUUUGUGGUAUGCAAGAAAUCCUCUAAUAUGGAACUGUCGGGGCCUAGCCAAAAAACAAGUAAUGAUGGCCUUAGCCCCUCAGCAAAAUAUCUUGCCCCGGCGCCGGCAACCCUCAGGCCUCAAGAGGAACCUGAAGGAACAACGACCACUCCGAGUGCUGUAGCCAGUGUAGUUACAUUGAUGCACAAGGUAGUCGAGUCAAUGGCAAAUGUAGAAGUGCUAGCCCCCGAGCCAUUUCCCAAGGGCCCAGCGACUACUCUUGGUGUCGUGGCCUCUCCUGUAGCCCCCAAGCCAGUUGUAGAGAUUGAAACGGCAUCAACUCUGGAAGCCAUAGUGAUGGAAGCUGCAGCGGCUAGACCAUCAAGUAGUCAUGGCCUGGUGCCGCAAGGAGAAUUCCAUGCAGAAUCUGGAGCCGAUAAGAAUAUCCGUCUGGAAGACAUCCAAUUGAUUAACGCCCCAUUACUGAACCCUGAAAUGGUGUCACUGAUGAUGGAGUCGCAUCGUCGCCUAGGCAACUAUAUGUUGUAUAUCCUCCUUCCCUUGUCUUGUUAGAAAUAAUUAGUAAACUUUUACUCAUGAAUUGCCACGAGUACUGAUUUUUGUGCUAUAGAACAUCAUUGAGUGCUCCCACCACAAGUCAAAGAUGCUUGAAGGGUAUGGUGAUAUCGUACUUCGUGCUGAGGCGCUAGAGGUGGAGCUUGCCAAAGAGAAAGAGUACUCCUCGUGGUUACUUAUGAAGUUUGAUGGGACAACUGCUGAGUACGGCAAUUGCAUUUAGGAGCUCACGAAACAAAACGAUCAUCUUGUUGGGAGGAAAAGGUCCUUGACCUAGAAAGUAAAAGGUAAUCCUUUACUCUUGCAACUUGUGUCUUUUGAUUCUGCUCUGUAGUCUUUGACCGUUAUUUUAUAUCCAUGUAUAGCUUUGAAAAAGGCCAAGAGGGAUCUCGAGGUGCAGGUUACAGAUUGGAAGAAUUCUUAUUACCAUGUGACCGACCAACAUGAUAAGCUUGUACUUCAUGUCGAGAAGCUAGAGGAUCACCUUGAGAAGGAGAAAAAGAUGCACGAGGAUGGCAAAGCUGACCUUGUUCAAGCUAUGGAGACUUUGAAGAGCCAUGAGAUGGAGAAUGCGUCCUUUGCUCUAAAGCAAAUCUGUGAAGCCACCCAGCCCAUUUUGAAAGAUUUUGAAAGAUUCUACAGAACAUAAGUAAAACAAAAGUUUAAGACAAAAACCAAAACAAAAGUUUAAGACAAAAACCAAAGCAUAGCAGUAAGGAUGAGGUAAAAUCAAGAUGAAGAUUAUUUUAAGCUGACUUAAAUUAAGAAAAGGUAGGAAUGGCUACUAUAUUAUUAUAAUCCUUAAAUACGAUCCUUUUCUAACUAGGCUAACGUCCUACAGUCAACACGGCUCUGGUACCACUUUUGUCACACCCGAUUUUAAGGACAAAAUCGAGUGCAUUAAAUACAUGUGCGCCAGGAUCAAGUUACACACAUGUACGACAAGAGUGAAUAACAAAGACAGUGCUAAAGCGAAUAAAGAGAGUAUUAAACAUUAUUACAUGACCGAAAGUCUCAAUAAAACAUAGGCCUAAUUUAUUACGCAGCGGAACUCCAAAGAUGAUGACGACACCACAGGCAGCUGACUGAAGAACCGUACACCUAGAACUCCUCAAAGUCGUGCAGAUACUCCUAUCAAUUAGCUUGGUCUGAACAACGGUUUUGCAAGGGUGAGUACACUUAUGGUUGGUACUCAACAAGUCGUGGGGAAUAGUGUAGUGUAAGGCAAAUCAAGGUAUGGCUAAGGCUAAAUUAGCAUUAGCUUUUAAUUAAGUUGGUCAAGUUUUAUUAGCAAUUAACUAAGUAUAAGUUUAUACCACCCGAAAUUAAACAUGAGCAUAAAUAAAGUAAAAACAUAACCAUAAAAGAAAUGACAACAAUUUAAAUCCAUCUUUCGAUAGCAUUAUCAUGUGAGGGUCCAGGCCGCUCUUAACCGUGAGCCCGGCUGAUCGAUCAGUUUUACACUCUGCAGAGGUUGUACAUCUUUACCCACAAGUCGUGUAAAAGUUCAAAAGAACUUUGGACCCAACCAUGCGGUGUUUGCAAGGCACCAUACCACACUUCCGAGGUGUGAUUGCAUAGGGACGCUACGAGGCCUUUACAAAGAUUCAUUAGUUAGUGGUAACCCGCUAAGGUUUCGGUGUCUGGCGUGCACAACCUAUCAUAAGCCGCUAAUGCAACGACUCAGUCCCCCCUCUUGCCUCAUCACGAGUAAGAUUACCCCAGACUAAGGUUUCUAAUUAUUCAGCCAAGACCAGAGCCAUUUAGUCUUGUGGUAGCACUGUUUUCCUGGGUGGUUCUCCAUGUUCCGAUUAAACACUUGUGAUCUUGUAUUAAUGAAAGGUAUGACAGAAGUAAAGCAAGAUUGAACAUUGUGCUCAGUUAAACCACCAUACCAAGUAAGCACUAAGCAUGAGCUACCCAACAUAAAGUAAACCGGUUGGUCAAGGCAAAGGUAAUUCGAUCUAGGCGAACCUUAAUUGGGACCCAUCAAUUUAAUUUUAACAUGUGCAUAGCAUAAAUGUUGAGUACGAGAAAGUAAAAGUGUAUAGGACGAAAAGUAGUGAUCAAGGACACGACUUGCCUUCUUGGCCUUGCUCUUGUUGUUCGUACUCCUCGAAAGCUUGAUCUUCAAAUCCCUCGAACUGCUGAACGUGUACACGCGUCACACGAGCACAUACAAGCAAAUAAAUACAAUACAUAAGAAAACAGUACACCAAUCAUAAUUAAACAGAGAAAACAUGUUCGAAAAUCUAUUCUACGCAUUAAAACGAACACACGGAUAUAAAGAACGUUAAAAACGAAGCUAUAAAGCAAAAGAUAUGCUUAAAACAAGAUGCAGGGGUAUAACUACGAGAAAAACUAAGAUUACAAGGAUCUGGUUUUAAAUAGUCUUGAGGUGCGGGAGGAUAUCAACGCAAAACGCAGAAACUGCAGGGGUUAAAGUGCAAAAGCGCGGCUGCUGACUCGGCUGAAUUGAUGUGGACCGUCGGAUGGCGAUCCGGCGGCCGGCAGCUGCUGCGCUGACAUCAGCGACGGCGAGCGGCGGCGGAAAACGGCAGUUCGCCGGAAUCGCCCGGGAACGCGCGACUGGGUGCAGAUUUGAGCGAGGAUUAGACCAGCAAAUAGAAACGAGCGCAAUGAACUCAUUUGGGAUGCUGACGGCGAGGACUUGGCGGCGGCAUAGGCUCCGGCAACAACUUGCGGCAAGGAAAACAAAUAAAAUAAAACAAAACGCAGGGAUGCACGGGCGAUGUGUAGCCGGGUCUUCACCUUCCCGCGGAGCUUCUGGUGGAGGUGAGGACGACGAAGGGGUGACGGCAGCGCGCACAGAGGAGUUCGAGCGUGGCGGCAGAUGCUUCGGGUGGCGGCGCAAGGAAGCUGUAGAUGCGAAAAAGCUUGCGGUUUUGGGGAAAAAGGAAGUGGCGGUGGCCUUUUGUACCAGCCCUGGCGAGUGGGUCCGCAUCGAGUCGGACGCGGGCGCGGCACGCACACGGUCCGGGCUUGAGUCCGAUUCAGAGAAGCGGCGCUGGAGGAACGCGAGCGAUUUUGCGUGCGAGCGGAAGAAAACGCUGC
rnacentral:lncRNA from 1 species